rnacentral:lncRNA from 1 species
GGAAGCUAAAUUGAAUGGUCCAGGGGUAUGUACCGGAUUGAACAUACAAAGUUCUUUUGAAUACAUGAAGACUAGUUAUACAUGCACCAAACAAUUUUACUUUCUGGCUGUUAUUUGUUUGUAAUCGUUGAAGUCAUUUGGCACCUGAAAGUUUUUUUUUUCCUUCUUUUUGGUGGUGGAGUUUUGCACUUGAGGCACAGAAUUGGCACCACAUUUGUGAAUUAGUUCAUUAUACCGUAAACCUUGGAAUCUAUAUGAUAGUUUCACAGCUAAUCAUGUUUUUCAAAUAGUGUUGGUCCAUUUGGAUUUGUGAUUUAGUGAUGAGCUAUUAUAAAAAGAAAUUAUGUAGAGGGCAUAUGCCCAUCAUCCAGUGUCUUGUCCAAGGGGUUCAGGCUAAGUUUUAUGUAUCUUUACCGUUUCAAGGGGUUCAGACUAAGUUUUAUGUAUCUUUACCGUUACAUUAUGCAUGAUCAGAAUGCUAAAAAGUUGGGAACAGGUUAUCUAUAUGCAAGACAAUAAUGUAGUUGGCGACAGAUGCAUGUUAUAUUGCAUCUAUAUAGAGCUGCAUGAUGUUGAAUCUAAACAUUGAUAAAGGAGUUUGUAUAUUUAGUCAGCAAUUGAAGGCUUGAGGCCGAAAUGUGGAACUAGAGACCUUAAAAUUCUGUUUUGGAUUGUGGAAGGCUAGACUUAUUUGCUAGCUAAAAUGAUCACAAGUGGAGAUCCUAAAAGGUUACACUUAUUUGCUAGCUAAAAUGAUUUGAUCUGAUGAAUAUUUGAUAUGAAACCUCUAAAUUUGGAUAUCUAACCUCAUUUUUGAAUUUAGAUUUAAUUUUCAGAUCUAAACAUUUUUAGAUUCGGAAUAAGUGUUUACCGAUCUGAAAUCCAAUUCAAACCUAAAUGAAAUCUGAAAAAAAAUACUUGAAAUAUAUAUAUAUAUACACACACUAUUGAGAAAUUUGUGUAACAUGUCCACAUUUAAUGGGUUAUUUUUAAAAAAAAUUCCCUUUAAUUCAAUAAUUAUAGAUAUAUUUGAUAGAUUAUUAAAAUUUAUCCAAUUGUGUUUUUUUUGUAGAUUGUUAGUUCAUAUGUUUUGAGUGAAAUGAUGUAAUAUAAUCAUUGAAUAAAUCAUGCGCUUAUUUUUUUUGGUAUUAUUUGUAUAUUGCCACUGGUGUAUUAUAUUUUAAUUUUCGUGUUUCAUGUUCCAGAUAUUGAUUUUCAGGUAUAUUAAAGAUUUGAUCCAAAAAUUUUGGAUUUUGAUUAUUUCUAGGUCCAAUCCAAAAAACUGUGAAAUUGAAUUUAAAUAUUCAUUUUCAGAAUCAUAUGUGGUUUGAAUAUGGAUAAAAAUUUGGGUUUAAAUAUAAAUUAUGUCAUAUCCAACCUGAUUCCGAUUCCUCUUGGGUUGGGCUGUAUUUGCAAAAUCAAAUAUUCACACGAUAACAAGAGUUCGUCUCAUCUACCUCCGGCUCUUAUCAUCUCCAUCUCCUUAUCCACAUCUCUUGCUUCUCCAUCUUUAUCUCCUUUUUUCCAUCUUAAUUCUCUCUCAUGUUAAUCUCAAUGUCUAGUCACCGCUUUUCCAUCCACAAAAUAUCGUUUUUCUUGUUUUUAAUUUUCUAUUAAUAAACAUCCUCUUUUAUUUGUUUUUUCAUCAAUAAAAUCGAGUUUUGUGGAACAAGACUCGAAAAACUCAUUUGAAUUUUUCGUUCCCUUUUAUUUGAAUUAUUGUUUGUGUGCUUGAGUGUCCCGUUCUGUGCGAUGUGGUAGUUAUGUUUAAAUUUGAUUUCCUAAUCUUGAGAAGAACGGAAUCGUCCCUACCGUCACGUGCCUCAUAGAGCCACUGGAAUUGCUAUAAACAGCACUAACUCCUUGAUUGGACUAUUUGCAUUGUGAGAAUUGAAAAAUAAAAAGGCCUCCUUCUCAGAGCCUCACAGCUUGUAUCCACCUUGAUUGGACCAGAAAAAAUGCACUGGACUUUGCCUUCAUUGUUUACUAUGAAGCCUCCAAAGUCCAAUGCAACACAAAGCUUGCGGAUCCUUAUUUUUAAUUCCAUAUCAACCUAUAUUCUUGUUGAUGAUAGUCAAUAGACAUUCACGUGAAUAAUUCAAUAUCAACCCAUCUGCUUCUUCUGUGAAAACUAUGUACUAUAGAAUUUGUUUUUCUUCUCUACUCGAACAAUAUCUCUAACUUAGAACUCAAUUUUUAGAGAACUCAGAACUGCACUAUAUAGGUAUAAAAUUCGGGGAGAACUGAAAUUUUCUGACUAUGAAAACUAAAAAACCAAUAUCAUGGUCGUGUUAGACUGUGUUUGCAUUCAAGUUAUUGGAUUUGCCUCAUCGUCUAUCUGGCUAAACACAUUCGAUAUAUACUUUUUUUUUUUAAAAUUUGUUUCGGGUUCCCCUUUUAUUUACCAGAAGAAACAAAUCUGUCUUAAACUUUACUAUGAUUCUAUGUUCUAGAAUAAAUUUUUGUUAUCUUUGUUAAGUGAUUGUUUGUUAUCUUAUUUGGCAGGGAAGCUAAACUGAAUGGUCCAAGGGUAUGUAUCGGAUUGAACAUACAAAGUUCUUUUGAAUACAUGAAGACUAGUCAUACAUGCACCAAACAAUUCUACUUUCUGGCUGUUAUUUGUUUGUAAUCGUUGAAGUCAUUUGGCACCUGAAAGUUUUUUUUUCCUACUUUUUGGUGGUGGAGUUUUGCACUUGAGGCACAGAAUUGGCACCACAUUUGUGAAUUAGUUCAUUAUACCGUAAACUUUGGAUUUUAUAUGAUAGUUUCACAGCUAAUCAUGUUUCAAAUAGUGUUGGUCCAUUUGGAUUUGUGAUUUAGUGACGAGCUAUUAUAAAAAGAAAUUAUGUAGAGGGCAUAUGCCCAUCAUCCAAUGUCUUGUCUUUUCAAGGGGUUGAGGCUAAAUUUUAUGUAUCUUUACCGUUAC